rnacentral:rRNA from 1 species
GACGAACGCUGGCGGCGUGCUUAACACAUGCAAGUCGAACGCUGAAGCUUGGUGCUCGCACUGGGUGGAUGAGUGGCGAACGGGUGAGUAAUACGUGCGUAACCUGCCCUUGACUCUGGGAUAAGCCUGGGAAACUGGGUCUAAUACUGGAUACGACAUGCCACUGCAUGGUGGUGUGUGGAAAGGGAUUUACUGGUUUUGGAUGGGCUCACGGCCUAUUAGCUUGUUGGCGGGGUAAUGGCCUACCAAGGCGACGACGGGUAGCCGGCCUGAGAGGGUGACCGGCCACACUGGGACUGAGACACGGCCCAGAGUCCUACAGGAGGCAGCGGUGGGGAAUAUUGCACAGUGGGCGGAAGCCUGAUGCAGCGACGCCGCGUUAGGGAUGACGGCCUUCGGGUUGUAAACCUCUUUCAGCACGGAAGAAGCGAGUGUGACGGUACGUGCAGAAGAAGCGCCGGCUAACUACGUG